rnacentral:rRNA from 1 species
ACGUAGGGGGCAAGCGUUAUCCGGAUUUACUGGGUGUAAAGGGAGCGUAGACGGAUUAGCAAGUCUGAUGUGAAAGGCAGGGGCUCAACCCCUGGACUGCAUUGGAAACUGCCAGUCUUGAGUGCCGGAGAGGUAAGCGGAAUUCCUAGUGUAGCGGUGAAAUGCGUAGAUAUUAGGAGGAACACCAGUGGCGAAGGCGGCUUACUGGACGGCAACUGACGUUGAGGCUCGAAAGCGUGGGGAGCAAACAG